UCAUGGUGUUGUUUCAGUUUCUCUCAGACAUUAUGUUAUUUUCUUACAGUUUUCUUUAUUAUUAAAACUUAGUUUACAUUUAUGUGAGCCACUUAUUUUUCUCAAAGAAAAAGAAAUUCUGCUGAAGAAUGGUGGAAUAUCCUAAACUUGGAAAAACAGGUUCAUAUGCAAGCGCUGAGAUGAUUCUGGAGUGCAGACUGUUUCUUGUUACUAAGGCCUGGGAUUUUUACACUGUGAUUGAAACCUCUUCAGAAAAAGAACAAGAACCUAUUUGCAUAGCUGUUGUUUUUCUGUAACAAAAUGACACUUACAACAAAAGAGGACAUUAUGGAACAAUUGACCUUUCCACAACACUGUAAUGUGAAUCUAAACACCAGCUAGUACUACACAGCCCAACUUAUUGAAAUAGAUAGUUUAUUCCACGAACCCAUCCCCCCUUUUUAAAAAGUAAAUUAGCAAUAAAUCAAUAAAAGCUAUGUAAUGUGAAAAUGAA